rnacentral:lncRNA from 1 species
AAAAAAUUAAAAAAAAUAAAUAAAAUAAAAACAACAACAACAAAUAAACUUCAAUCUUCCUUAUGCGGAGUAUCAACAGCGGCAUCAGGAACUCCCCCACGCUCCGUAUCCCGGAGCACCCACACAAAACCCCCAAUAUCAAACCUUAGUUCGGUGUACGCAUCAGCCCUACCUUUAUUAUCAAAGUAGGGCACUUGCUUACAACGGUACCUCUCUAUUCACAACACGUUUCUCAUAUCUUUUUC